AUACCCAACAAUAACAUAGUGUUAAUGUACUGGAUGCGAUUAGAACUAUGCAUUUAAGCAUGCUCGGCCUAGAGUAGUACUUGGAUGGGUGACCGCCCAGGAAGUCCUAUUGCUUUAC
rfam:Picea glauca, whole genome shotgun sequence.